UAAAAAAUCCUCCUAAUUGGAGAAUUAAACACUAUUGCUUUAAAACAGUGGUGCACUGCUUUGAAAAAUUAAGACCAUAUGGAAUCAGUUAUUACUUUUCAAUAUGUAUUCAGUCUCUGGUGCAAUUUUAUGUACCCGCUAAUGCAUAAAGCUUUUUGGAGAAGGAAUAAAGCACCACAAGGCAUGAUUUAAUGCUAUGGGGUCACCAAAUCUGUUUCAGAUUACUGGAUGUUUCAAUCUGCUGCAAAGAAGGGGACGUCCCUGGACUGAUGAAACAAUGAUAGGGGGGAGGAGCCCAUAAAUCUGAAACACUUUAGAAAUAUAGUGCAUGUAUCAACAAUAACUUUUAAAGGAUUCAGGGGGGGUUUGGUCUUAUAAGAGAGAGAGAGUUAAGAAACAAAUUCUACCAAGUGACAGGAAAGUUAAAGUCAGUGUUAAUAGUUCAAUACUUGGUUGCAAUUUAAGACGUCUUAAUGAAUCAUGUUUUCAAACACUACAGGCCCACAUAAGCAUGUGACUGUAAGAGAAAAUAAGAGCAAGUAAUCCAGGAGCUCACAAAAGUGCUUUUGUUUACAGUUCUGUGGUCCCUGGAAGUGCCUAUUCUUGUGCUUAUUCACAAACACCUCUGGCUCUUUCUCCCAGAAAUCCUAUCCAAACGUUUUUGUUCUGACUUGGUUAGAAGAGGACUUUGUGCUUCGCCUCUUUUUGUACCACUUCUGUGAGGUUCAGUCUCACAGUGACCUUCCUCUGCCAAGGGGCUGCCAUAGGUCUGAUGCCUUGGUCACUUUUUGUUACUUGUUUUUUUUUCUGCGGAGCAAUCUUUGCUCUCAGGGCCUGGGCAUUUUCUUUUCACUGGUUCAGCAGGGACCCAACAAGAAGAGUUAACCAUGCGUGGUUUGUGCCACCUGGCAAUGAGCUCUGCAGGCACAGGAGGCAGCCUUUAUCAUGAACCUGAGAGCAGUAUAACCCUCUGGCUAGUUAUAAUUUAACAGAAACACCAUUUUUCAUCUUGCCGCGGUGUUGUGCCUUCUUUUAAAUGUCAUCUGUAGAGUCUCCCAGUGAGUGGGAGCUUCAGUUUGGCUUUGUGUUUCUUACAGAUACUGAGAAAAACUUUUCCAUAUGAACAUGGAACCUACUGAAAAAGAGCCAGAUUCUUUCUUAGAGGCGUAAGCAAGCUAAAUGGAGUUUGAAAUCACUUUUACACCUCAGUCAAACUAUUUUGUCACUAUGUAUUUGUCAUUUAUAACCAGUAAUCAACUGGUUCUUCUAUUAAGGCUGAAAUUAUGUAUUUUUAGAAGAAUUAUUAAGCAAGUAAAUUAAUCUCCAGUUUUCCUGUAGCACUGAAGCUUGUUCAUCACUGUUCUGCCUUCCAUCCUUCUUUAAACAUUUGAUAAUGAAUAGUAAUUCCAAGUAAGUUCCCAGCUUUUGUUUCAAACUUACAGAGCAUGCAGACUCCUUCUGAAUCAAGACCUUAAUGUGACCUCUCCCACCUGCUCCAAUUAUAGCAUCCAAAUAAAAUUGAAACCAGUGGAAUGAAUUCAUAAUAAGGAUUAAAACAAAAAGCCAUGAGAGCAGUGGUGGUGGGAGCUGUUCUACUUGCAGGAAUGUUGGGACUAAUCACGUGAGAAAAGAUCCUGGAGUGAUGAGGCAGCAUAUUUCCCAUGUCUGAGGUCAGGAUUUGUUCUGUGAAGCUGACCUUUAAAACAGCCUGAAAAUGAGGAACGUGGCACCAGAGAGCAGAGCAGGAAGCAUGAAAUGAUGUAAGAUAUGUUUCUUCUGCAUAUGAAAUACUUGCCUUUUUUUUUUUUUCUUAAAGCUCCAGGUUUGUGAUUCAGCAGUUUCUGCCACUGACAGAAUAUAAAAAAGGGGAAAGCCCUGUGGAAAAGAGGAUUUCCUAUUGUUUUAGUAAAAAUCUAAUAAAAUCUUUCCGUCGGUUA